GAUGAACGCUGGCGGCGUGCCUAAUACAUGCAAGUCGAGCGAACAGACGAGGAGCUUGCUCCUCUGACGUUAGCGGCGGACGGGUGAGUAACACGUGGAUAACCUACCUAUAAGACUGGGAUAACUUCGGGAAACCGGAGCUAAUACCGGAUAAUAUAUUGAACCGCAUGGUUCAAUAGUGAAAGACGGUUUUGCUGUCACUUAUAGAUGGAUACGCGCCGCAUUAGCUAGUUGGUAAGGUAACGGCUUACCAAGGCAACGAUGCGUAGCCGACCUGAGAGGGUGAUCGGCCAGACGGGAUCUGAGACACGGCCCAGACUCCUACGGGAGGCAGCAGUAGGGAAUCUUCCGCAAUGGGCGAAAGCCUGACGGAGCAACGCCGCGUGAGUGAUGAAGGUCUUCGGAUCGUAAAACUCUGUUAUUAGGGAAGAACAAAUGUGUAAGUAACUAUGCACGUCUUGACGGUACCUAAUCAGAAAGCCACGGCUAACUACGUG
rnacentral:rRNA from 1 species